CACGAUUAUUAACGCUGCGUUUGGCAGGAGAGAAAAAAGUGGUGACCUUCCAUCGUUGCCCCUGCAUGCAUGCGCUAGGAAGUCAUUUAGAGCAAGAACAAUAGCACAGCCGGCUGCCGGCUCUAUACUAGUGCCAUGUCAUUUAAAGUCAUCUUAGAGCCAAAGCCAUACAACAUGCUAGUUGUAGACGGGCUGUAAGAUUGUUCAUUUUAAACAUUUAAGUACUUGAUGCUUGCAUGCUAUUGGAUACAAGGCUGCAUGCAACUACUUUUUCUUGAACCAUGUGCUAUAGCUCGGCUGUAGAAGAAGAGCCGGCUUUGCUCUCUUUCUCCCUUUCUCUCUCUUCCACAUUGGAUUUUGAUGACAUGGCAGAUGUUAUAGACUGCUGAGUGUACCUUAUUGUACUUGCUCUUAAUUUCGCUGUCGCUCGUUGCGGCCGCCUCCUUGAUUCCUGCACAACGCUCGGCCUCUCUUCUCCCUCAUUAUUCUUCUCUCCCGACGGUAGCGCAUUCAAUGGACCAGCUGAUCCACGGGUUUUUUUUUUGUCCAAUCGGAGAGGAAGUAGAUGAUCAUCCAUUGGGGAACAACCUUGUGUCACAGAUCACUCCGAGAUUGAACGGCCUAGAUCAAUCAAGAAAAGAGGGUUAGAUGGAGGCAAACAUUGUUUGCAAUCAGAAUACUCGAGCUCCUAUUAGUUCUUCGCGCCAUGGACGCCCAACACUUCAUCUUCUCCCUCUGGUUUUCCUCUUGUUCUCCCUAUGUUCUUCACCAUGGCAGGGCUGGAUUUGAACGAGCCAAUCAAUUGGGAUGAACUGGAUGACUUCGACGGAGAAGCUCGUGAACUUGCUGGCGAUUUCUUUUUUCAGGUGGAGAGCGACGAAGACGAGGAUGGCGAUGAUGAACACCGAGAACAGAUGAUGAACUCGUCUGUGGAGGGGAACGGCUGAGGACGACGUAGUCUCGGACUCACUAGUUUCCGAGCAGCCCAGAGGCGGAACGCGGGCUAGUCGGGCAACGCCGAGCUUGCCCGUGGCUCAUUCUUCGUGGGCGAGUCGAGCAACGCCGAGCUUGGCCGUGGCUCUUUCUUCGCCGGCGAGUCGAGCAGCGCCGGGCUCUUUCUAUUUGAUUCUUCUAAUAUGGAUUUGGUCCAAGAUCUGAUUUGCUUCUGUUUGAUACUUCCAAUAUGGUUUUGAUUCCAGUCUGAUUUGCUUCCA